AAGGAGCUUGCUCCCGGAUGUUAGCGGCGGACGGGUGAGUAACACGUGGGUAACCUGCCUGUAAGACUGGGAUAACUCCGGGAAACCGGAGCUAAUACCGGAUAGUUCCUUGAACCGCAUGGUUCAAGGAUGAAAGACGGUUUCGGCUGUCACUUACAGAUGGACCCGCGGCGCAUUAGCUAGUUGGUGAGGUAACGGCUCACCAAGGCGACGAUGCGUAGCCGACCUGAGAGGGUGAUCGGCCACACUGGGACUGAGACACGGCCCAGACUCCUACGGGAGGCAGCAGUAGGGAAUCUUCCGCAAUGGACGAAAGUCUGACGGAGCAACGCCGCGUGAGUGAUGAAGGUUUUCGGAUCGUAAAGCUCUGUUGUUAGGGAAGAACAAGUGCAAGAGUAACUGCUUGCACCUUGACGGUACCUAACCAGAAAGCCACGGCUAACUACGUGCCAGCAGCCGCGGUAAUACGUAGGUGGCAAGCGUUGUCCGGAAUUAUUGGGCGUAAAGGGCUCGCAGGCGGUUUCUUAAGUCUGAUGUGAAAGCCCCCGGCUCAACCGGGGAGGGUCAUUGGAAACUGGGAAACUUGAGUGCAGAAGAGGAGAGUGGAAUUCCACGUGUAGCGGUGAAAUGCGUAGAGAUGUGGAGGAACACCAGUGGCGAAGGCGACUCUCUGGUCUGUAACUGACGCUGAGGAGCGAAAGCGUGGGGAGCGAACAGGAUUAGAUACCCUGGUAGUCCACGCCGUAAACGAUGAGUGCUAAGUGUUAGGGGGUUUCCGCCCCUUAGUGCUGCAGCUAACGCAUUAAGCACUCCGCCUGGGGAGUACGGUCGCAAGACUGAAACUCAAAGGAAUUGACGGGGGCCCGCACAAGCGGUGGAGCAUGUGGUUUAA
rnacentral:rRNA from 1 species